GUGGAUAAGAAGCAAAGAAAAGAAAAGUGGGGAAAGAAGAAAAACGUGGAAGAGAAGAUAAGAGAAAAGGAGAGAAAAGAAGAAGAGAAAGAGGAAGAGGAAAGCUCGGCGAAAGAAGAAGAAACUCAUGCAAGAUCAUCACCAUCUCCAAUAUUUCAUCUUCAUCUCCUCAAGUGGAAGUCUGGACUCCGCUGACAAUAUAUAUUGGAUGAUUAAAUCUAUAUAAUGGAAGUUUGGUAUCCAUUGGCCAUAUCAGGUGGAAAGGGCUUGGUUCAUUCCGUUUUAGUUGAGGUUUGGCAUCCAUUGACCAUAUCUGAUGGCGAGUGUAAACCAUGUAGUGGAGGUCUGGUGCCCAUUUACCAUAUAUGAUGGAGAGUAUGUUUUACGCAGUUGAUGCUUAAAUCACAUGGACAAUAUCUCAUGGAGGAUGAAUCCAUGCAGUGGAUGUCCGUAUCUAUUGACAAUAUCUGGUAGAUAGUUAGUCCAUGCAGUGGAGGUUUAGUUUUACCAUUGGUCAUAUCUGACGGAUGAUUGAUUAGAUCUUUGUGAUCGGUUUGAGCUAAUCACAUUUGUGUUACAUAGUUUAAGAUAAAUACGCAUGCUAGACAUAAGUGACUGAAGCAUAGUUUAAGACUAAGAUUACAAGAUUUGACUAAAAAUUCUCAACGGAGGAAGUUGAAGGACUUGGGAGUGUUUCUCGACAGAAGUGGCAGUUUUGUAGCUGUUCAAAAACUAAAGGCGCACGGAAGCAAUGCAGAGGACAGAAGGCCCCGUAGCAUUGCAUGUGUCGAGCGUUGAAGAUUCGACCAUUAUCGACGUUACUAAUAUAUAUGUAUAUAAGUCGAUUUAGUCUUUGUAACAAGGGUUCACAAUUUUCAUUAUUAGUCUCUAUACAGUUUAAACAUCAAAGUUACAGAGAUACUAAAUUUAUGAGAAAAAUGUAUGAAUCUACGUUCCAACUCUUAACUUAAGCAUUUUACUC